AUUGAACGCUGGCGGCACGCUUAACACAUGCAAGUCGAACGGUAACAUUAUUAAAAGCUUGCUUUUAAUAGAUGACGAGUGGCGGACGGGUGAGUAACGCGUAGGAAUCUGCCCCAAAGCGGGGGAUAACCUAGGGAAACUUAGGGUAAUACCGCAUAAUCUCUAAGGAGCAAAGGUCAUGGUUUACCAUGGUCGCUUUGGGAUGAGCCUGCGUUGGAUUAGUUUGUUGUUAGGGUAAUGGCCUAACAAGACAAAGAUCCAUAGCUGUUCUGAGAGGAAGAUCAGCCACACUGGGACUGAGACACGGCCCAG
rnacentral:rRNA from 1 species